rnacentral:lncRNA from 1 species
CCCAUCCAAAAAUCCAAAAAGUCUAAUCAUAUUUUCUUCAUGAUUGUCCCUGAUUUGGUUAAUCCAAAUUUAAAAUAUUUUAAUAAAAUUUUAAAAUAUAAAUAUUUAAAAAUCAAUAGAAUAUAUUUAAAAAAAUAAAAGAUAUUAAUACAGAUUUGAUCAAAAUUAAUAUUCAUGUAGUACAGGAACAAAGAGAGAUGAAGGAUAAAUCC